GCACAAGCGGUGGAUGAUGUGGAUUAAUUCGAUGCAACGACGAAAACCUUACCUACCCUUGACAUGUCCGGAAUCCUGCAGAGAUGCGGGAGUGCCCGAAAGGAAUCGGAACACAGGUGCUGCAUGGCUGUCGUCAGCUCGUGUCGUGAGAUGUUGGGUUAAGUCCCGCAACGAGCGCAACCCUUAUCAUUAGUUGCUACGCAAGGGCACUCUAAUGAGACUGCCGGCGACAAACCGGAGGAAGGUGGGGAUGACGUCAAGUCCUCAUGGCCCUUAUGGGUAGGGCUUCACACGUCAUACAAUGGUCGGUACAGAGGGUUGCCAACCCGCGAGGGGGAGCUAAUCCCACAAAGCCGAUCGUAGUCCGGAUCGCAGUCUGCAACUCGACUGCGUGAAGUCGGAAUCGCUAGUAAUCGUGGAUCAGCAUGUCACGGUGAAUACGUUCCCGGGUCUU
rnacentral:rRNA from 1 species